AGAGUUUGAUCCUGGCUCAGAGCGAACGCUGGCGGCACGCCUAACACAUGCAAGUCGAGCGAGAAAGUGACUUCGGUCGCGAGUAAAGCGGCGAACGGGUGAGUACAACGUGGAUAAUCUACCCUAAGGUCUGGGACAACCCCGAGAAAUCGGGGCUAAUACCGGAUAAGACCACAGUAUCCAAGGAUACAGCGGUAAAAGAUUUAUCGCCUUUGGAUGAGUCCACGCCCCAUCAGGUAGUUGGUAAGGUAAAGGCUUACCAAGCCUAAGACGGGUAGCCGGCCUUAGCGGGUGAACGGCCACAUGGGGACUGAGACACGGCCCUGACUCCUACGGGAGGCAGCAGUGGGGAAUAUUGGGCAAUGGGCGAAAGCCUGACCCAGCGAUGCCGCGUGAGGGAUGAAGGCCUUCGGGUUGUAAACCUCUGUCAGGAGGGACGAUGGGACUUUGUCUUGACGGUACCUCCAGAGGAAGCCCCGGCUAACUCCGUGCCAGCAGCCGCGGUAAUACGGAGGGGGCAAGCGUUGCUCGGAAUUACUGGGCGUAAAGGGUC
rnacentral:rRNA from 1 species